ACCUACGGGGGGCAGCAGUGGGGAAUAUUGCACAAUGGGGGAAACCCUGAUGCAGCGACGCCGCGUGAAGGAAGAAGUAUUUCGGUAUGUAAACUUCUAUCAGCAGGGAAGAAAAUGACGGUACCUGACUAAGAAGCCCCGGCUAACUACGUGCCGGCAGCCGCGGUAAUACGUAGGGGGCAAGCGUUAUCCGGAUUUACUGGGUGUAAAGGGAGCGUAGGCGGUUUAGCAAGUCAGAAGUGAAAGCCCGGGGCUCAACUCCGGGACUGCUUUUGCAACUGUUGAACUAGAUU
rnacentral:rRNA from 1 species